AUAUAAUCAUAUUAAUUACAUUUUAAAACUUUUAAUUCUACUUUUAUAUUUUUUUUUUUAUUGACUGAAUUGGGGAUUGGACACAUACAAGGCCAUGGAAUAGUGUGGUGCUGAGCUGUGUCCCUGAAGAUGAGCUGUGCCCCUUUUUCCUACAGAAAUCACCAGGAACCAAUGAAUGAGCCCCAAAACAGCUGCCCCAGUGACUUUGGCAAAGAGGGAGGCUUUUGGCUCUGCAUUUAUAUUUGCAAUAGCUCUCCUCCUCCUGCCACAGAUCGAAACCAGAGAUGUCUGAGGUGGAGCUGGGCACCUGUUCUUGUGAGGGGGCCACCCCCUUGGUGUAUUGCUGGUGAAAGCCUGCAGCCUUCCAAGGUCAUCAGCCAACAUCCUGGCUCCAGCUGAGCAAGAUGCAAAGGUAAAGACUUGUGUGGUUUGAUCUUGACAGAAUAAUCUAGAUUAGCAGCUGCUGUUGCAAUCCAGACUGUUU
rnacentral:lncRNA from 1 species